AAAGCGCUUGCGCUUUUGCUGACGAGCGGCGGACGGGUGAGUAAAGUCUGGGGAUCUGCCUGAUGGAGGGGGAUAACCACUGGAAACGGUGGCUAAUACCGCAUGAAGUCGCAAGACCAAAGUGGGGGACCUGCGGGCCUCACGCCAUCGGAUGAACCCAGAUGGGAUUAGCUAGUAGGUAGGGUAAUGGCCUACCUAGGCGACGAUCCCUAGCUGGUCUGAGAGGAUGACCAGCCACACUGGGACUGAGACACGGCCCAGACUCAUACGGGAGGCAGCAGUGGGGAAUAUUGCACAAUGGGCGCAAGCCUGAUGCAGCCAUGCCGCGUGUAUGAAGAAGGCUUUCGGGUUGUAAAGUACUUUCAGCGGGGAGGAAGGGUGUGGCCUGAAUAGGGUUGUGCUUUGACGUUACCCGCAGAAGAAGCACCGGCUAACUCCGUGCCAGCAGCCGCGGUAAUACGGAGGGUGCAAGCGUUAAUCGGAAUGACUGGGCGUAAAGCGCACGCAGGCGGUCAAUUAAGUUAGAUGUGAAAUCCCCGGGCUUAACCUGGGAACGGCAUCUAAGACUGGUUGGCUAGAGUCUCGUAGAGGGGGGUAGAAUUCCAUGUGUAGCGGUGAAAUGCGUAGAGAUGUGGAGGAAUACCGGUGGCGAAGGCGGCCCCCUGGACGAAGACUGACGCUCAGGUGCGAAAAGCGUGGGGAGCAAACAGGAUUAGAUACCCUGGUAGUCCACGCUGUAAACGAUGUCGAUUUGGAGGUUGUUCCCCUAGAGGAGUGGCUUCCGGGAGCUAACGCGUUAAAAUCGACCGCCUGGGGGAGUACGGCCCGCAAGGGUUAAAAACUCAAAUGAAUUGGACGGGGGGCCCGCAACAAGCGGUGGAACCAUGGUGGUUUUAAUUUCGAUGCCACCGCGAAAGAACCUUUACCCUACUUCUUGGACAUCCAGAAGAAGAACCUC
rnacentral:rRNA from 1 species